rnacentral:rRNA from 1 species
AUGGAGAAAGUUGGCAAAAGAUCACGCAUAUACGCUGGAAGGAAUUUGGAGUGUGAUGUAGAUUUCCACCUACAAAUAAACGGAAAGCAGGCCCUCCAGCAACCUGCUUCGAGGUGGAGUGCUUCAGGCUGGCUCAUCCUACAGCCCAAACUGUCUUCUACUUCACAGGAUAGCCUCAGUCUGUUUCCUGCUUUGCUGAUUGCUUCACGCUUUGCCCUCUCACUCGACCACCUCCUGCCCUCUGGUGCCACUGUCACUGACGAUGGUUUUUGUAAUCGUGGUGUUGGUUAUCUUCUUAUUCAUGCUAUUAUCAUCCAUUGA